rnacentral:lncRNA from 1 species
AAUGACUCUCAUCUUCCUCCGUUUCAAAACUCCAAUUCAAAGUUGGGAUGUUUAUACAGUGAGACGUACAUCCGAUAAAAAGAACUUUAUAAAUCCUUUAAAAAAUUUAUAUCAAAAUUAUGUACUUUAGCUCUUUUUCACUUAAUAAUUUCAAUGUUCGAGACGUUUGAGGAAAAUAAUGGGUUUGUACCGUUAUAGGGGAGAAAGGAAGAUGAAGUGUUGAAGAUGAUGGAAGCAAAAGUCUAAGUCAAAGUUAACAGAGGUAUUUUCGUUAUAUAUCUUCAUCAAUUGUUACAGUUUUCUAGGUACUUUUCAGAUUUUUGUUUUCUCUUUUUUCUUUUUUCCUUUUAAAUCAGAUGUUUGGUAUAACUCUUCAACUCAACUGCAUCUUCUUUAUCACUAGAUUCUCAAAGGUAAAUUUUUCAAAAUGUUUCAUAGAAUGGUUGGAAUUGUUUGAAAUUUGAUAAAGCAUUAUGUUACAAUUCUUCAUAUUAAUACAUAUAUAUAUAUAUAUAACAAGAAAUGUCACAAAUCUAUGAUUAAUGUAUGAUUGAAAAAUAUGAUCAAUGAGUUAAACCAACAUUCUAUAAAAACAAAUUUAGGCUUAGAAUAUGCAAACCUUCAUAAAAGUUUUUUUUACCAUGCAAUAACAUAAUUUUUCAGUUUUAAAUGAAAUUUUGAAUGAAUUAUCUAGUGCAUUAGAAUGGUGUGAAGUAGAGAUCAGCUCUAAUUUUAAACCAAAAGCUCUGUUUUUUAUAGGCCAAAAGGAUUGUCUACUCAACAAAACCCUGUGCACCCAAACCACUCAAAAACCAUAUGCAUAUAUAACCAAGUGUCAAUAGCUCAAAAUUAAAAUUAUUAUGCAAAAUCUAAAGGUCUCUGGUUCUAAUGAUACUUACGAGAUAUCAUAUAAAAUCUCAUGGUCUCAUAUGUAUGAUCUUCGACAUUACCGUGUAAGGGUCUAAUUUUUUUGAAUUUGAUUACAAAUGAAUUGUUUUAGAAAAAUCAUUUAUAGAAAAGGACAUCCGGUAAUUCGAUUAUAUACGUAAACUCCAUCACUUGAGUCACCAUCCGCUAACACUUUCUUGAACAUUCUUUUUUUCCCACAUGAAUGUCGCUUACAUUUUUUACUUUGCUGAAAACGACGCCAGUUACCUCAUCACCUGUUUUGGACAAUGGUUAUGCUCUCCAGACUCGUGUCCGAGGUUUGGAGUUUUGAAUCUUUUAUUUUGAAGAAAUCUUAACCAGAUGCAGUUGGUCUUCUUCGGGAGAGGCUAAGGGGAUUGAUGAGAUGGUUUCAUCAAUAAGUCCAUGAGAAGAGUUGCCACAGCUUCUUCAAACUUCUCGCUUUAAUUUAUUCCCCUUUAUGUUUCACCUUCAUGUAUUUCAUAACUAAGAAAUCGGAAAGUAAUAUACGUUUAUCUCAUUAUCAUGAUCAAUAUGAAGACUUUUAG